rnacentral:rRNA from 1 species
UACGGGGGAGCAAACGUUGUUCGGAAUCACUGGGCGUAAAGGGCGUGUAGGCGGCUGGAUAAGUGGGAUGUUAAAUCCCCCGGCUCAACCGGGGACCUGCAUCUCAUACUGCUCAGCUCGAGCACAUCAGAGGAGACUGGAAUUCCGAGUGUAGAGGUGAAAUUCGUAGAUAUUCGGAAGAACACCAGUGGCGAAGGCGGCUCACUGGCCCGUUACCGACGCUCAGGCGCGACAGCGUGGGGAGCAAACAGG